AUGCACGCUGGCGGCGUGCCUAAUACAUGCCCGUCGAGCGAACAGAUGAGGAGCUUGCUCCUCUGACGUUAGCGGCGGACGGGUGAGUAACACGUGGAUAACCUACCUAUAAGACUGGGAUAACUUCGGGAAACCGGAGCUAAUACCGGAUAAUAUAUUGAACCGCAUGGUUCAAUAGUGAAAGACGGUUUUGCUGUCACUUAUAGAUGGAUCCGCGCCGCAUUAGCUAGUUGGUAAGGUAACGGCUUACCAAGGCAACGAUGCGUAGCCGACCUGAGAGGGUGAUCGGCCACACUGGAACUGAGACACGGUCCAGACUCCUACGGGAGGCAGCAGUAGGGAAUCUUCCGCAAUGGGCGAAAGCCUGACGGAGCAACGCCGCGUGAGUGAUGAAGGUCUUCGGAUCGUAAAACUCUGUUAUUAGGGAAGAACAAAUGUGUAAGUAACUAUGCACGUCUUGACGGUACCUAAUCAGAAAGCCACGGCUAACUACGUG
rnacentral:rRNA from 1 species